rnacentral:rRNA from 1 species
AGCUUUAAUAGCAUAUAUUAAAGUUGCUGCAGUUAAAAAGCUCGUAGUUGAAGGUUUGCACGGCUGAUAUCGUCCAUUCGGUUGAAGUCAGCUGUGCAUGUUUGGAUUGGUUCUGUAUGGCAUUAGGUUGUUGUAUGGAGGAUUUCCAUCAUUUACUGUGAAAAAAAUAGGGUGUUCAAAGCAGGCAUUUGCCGUUGAAUAUAUUAGCAUGGGAUAAUAAGAUAGGACCUUUGUGCUAUCUUGUUGGUUUAUGCACUUAGGUAAUGAUUAAUAGGGAUUGUUGGGGGUAUUUGUAUUCCACUGUCAGAGGUGAAAUUCUUGGAUUUUUGGAAGACACACAACUGCGAAAGCAUUUACCAAGGAUGUUU